GACGAACGCUGGCGGCGUGCUUAACACAUGCAAGUGGAGCGACGAACCAGGCUUCGGCCUGGGGCAAAGCCGCGAACGGGUGAGUAACACGUGGGUAACCUGCCUCGAAGACCGGGACAACCCGAGGAAACUCGGGUUAAUACCGGAUGUGGUCGCCGUCCUCAAGGACGGCGAGCAAAGGAAGCUUCGGCCUCCGCUUCGUGAGGGGCCCGCGGCCCAUUAGCUUGUUGGUGAGGUAACGGCUCACCAAGGCGACGAUGGGUCGCUGGUCUGAGAGGACGAUCAGCCACACUGGGACUGAGACACGGCCCAGACUCCUACGGGAGGCAGCAGUGGGGAAUCUUGCGCAAUGCGCGAAAGCGUGACGCAGCAACGCCGCGUGGGGGAAGAAGGCCUUCGGGUUGUAAACCUCUUUCAGGAGGGACGAAGCCUCGGGAGUUAAUAGCUCUCCGGGGUGACGGUACCUCAAUAAGAAGCCCCGGCUAACUACGUGCCAGCCGCCGCCGUAAGAC
rnacentral:rRNA from 1 species